rnacentral:lncRNA from 1 species
AAGAAGUCAGGCCACUACAAGUGCCAUAGCUUGAGCAAACUGUGCAGCCUGUAGCUCCACCUGGGAAGGUGUAAAAAAUCUGGGAGGCCACAAACCAUGGAAGCUGUACGCAUGGCGUAGUGGACUAGCGGUUAGAGGAGACCCCUCCCUUGCAAGUCGCAGCAACAAUGGGGGCCCAAGGUGAGAUGAAGCUGUAAUCUCACUGGAAG